AAGUAUGGUUUUAAAAGAUACAUGUACAGGUAUGGAUCUAACUAUGAAAUCAUUCUCAGAUUUAACCACAGCUGGAUUACUGGUAGUAUGGAAGAUACAUCUUUCUCUGUUUUCCCUUUUCAGGCCAAGCGACGCCGAGAGGGGCUAGGCUGAAAGUGAAGUGGUGCUGUUCAGUGCUGCCUGACAGAUACAAAACAACGAGUUAUCCAUUGGACGAUCAAACGGCGCCGUCCAAUGUGGCGGACAGUCAGACCAUACUAGUUCUGACAUCCUAGGCAGAUUGCGGCAGUUUGAUGAACUUUUGCCCUAACCAACACUACGCCCUGCCCUGACUCCCUGAGGAAAGUGAACUUCUUCUCUCUUUCAUGUGUACAGCACCGAACAACGGAUAUGGUACCUUAAUUAGUUAUUCUUAUUAAGCUGCAGCCCUGCUCGGAAUGGGUGUAAAAUUUUACAAGUGUAUGCAUUCUACAAUUGUAAAUUACAGGUCACCUCUUGAUUUCUGCCUCGAAUUAAAACGACAGGAGAGGGCCUGUAUUCCAAACCGGCCAGAAACGAACUGAAACGUUGAUCCAAACGGGGCCUUACACAUCCGAUCGUAGUAUAUUGGGUCUACGAAUCCUACUUCACAUAUGCCGGCCAGCCAGCUUAGCCUCCCGCACAUGGCAGAGAGAAAGCGCGAACCGAAGCCGCGAGAUGCUAUAGUGGAGCGGCCACAAUCUCCACUGUGUACGUUGGUGUCAAACCAAACACAUACACA
rnacentral:lncRNA from 1 species